UACGGAGGGUGCAAGCGUUAUCCGGAUUCACUGGGGUUAAAGGGUGCGUAGGUGGGCAGGUAAGUCAGUGGUGAAAUCUCCGGGCUUAACCCGGAAACUGCCGUUGAUACUAUUUGUCUUGAAUAUAGUGGAGGUGAGCGGAAUAUGUCAUGUAGCGGUGAAAUGCUUAGAUAUGACAUAGAACACCAAUUGCGAAGGCAGCUUGCUAGACUAUUAUUGACACUGAGGCACGAAAGCGUGGGGAUCAAACAGG
rnacentral:rRNA from 1 species